rnacentral:misc_RNA from 1 species
GAUGAAGAACGUAGCAAAAUGCGAUAAGUAGUGUGAAUUGCAGAAUUCAGUGAAUCAUCGAAUCUUUGAACGCACAUUGCGCCCCUUGGUAUUCCAUGGGGCAUGCCUGUUCGAGCGUCAUUUGUACCUUCAAGCUUUGCUUGGUGUUGGGUGUUUGUCCUUUCUCUUGCAGAGGGACUCGCCUUAAAGUAAUUGGCAGCCAGUGUUUUGGUUUUGAAGCGCAGCACAAGUCGCGAUUCAAAGCUAUACGCCAGCUUCCACAAGCCUUUUUCACUUUUGACCUCGGAUCAGGUAGGGAUACCCGCUGAACUUAAGCAUAUCAAUAAGCGGAGGA